rnacentral:tRNA from 1 species
GCCCUGUGGUGUAUGGCACACGUCGAAUUGCAAAUUCGGAGAAGCAGUUUCAACUCUGUCGGGGCUU